rnacentral:tRNA from 1 species
GGAGAAUUACUCAAGUCAGGUUAAGAGAGUUGAUUGCUAAUCAGCCAGUUGGUAUUUAAAUAAUAUCAAGCAAGGGUUCAAAUCCCUUAUUCUCCACCA